UGUUGCAGUUAAAAAGCUUGUAGUUGGAUUUUUGUUAAUAAUUUAUAUAAAAUAUUUUGAUGAAUAUUUAUAUAAUAUUAACAUAAUUCAUAUUACUAUUUUUUUUUUUUAGUAUAUGAAAUUUUACUUUGAGAAAAUUAGAGUGCUUAAAGCAGGCAUAUGCCUUGAAUACUCCAGCAUGGAAUAAUAUUAAAGAUUUUUAUCUUUUUUAUUGGUUCUAAGAUAAGAAUAAUGAUUAAUAGGGACAGUUGGGGGCAUUUGUAUUUAACAGUCAUAGGUGAAAUUCUUAGAUUUGUUAAAGACAAACUAAUGCGAAAGCAUUUGCCAAGGAUGUUUUCAUUAAUCAAGAACGAAAGUUAGGGGAUCGAAGACGAUCAGAUACCGUCGUAGUCUUAACC
rnacentral:rRNA from 1 species